rnacentral:ncRNA from 1 species
AGACGUGCUAAAGCGACUCCUCAGGAAUGGAUCGAGAUAGAGACUGGAUCUAAUAAGCUUCUUAUCCAAACUGACG